UUCUUGGAAUCCAUACCAGAAAACUUGAAUCUAUUGAGCCACAUUUGGCUACUAAAGAAGUUUUAGGGAUGAAUGGAACAAAACUUGAAUAUGUUGAGCUUGGAAAAGAAAUGGAAAAGGUAAAUCAAUUUAAUCUUUUUUUUCUAAUAUGGUGUUUAGUUUUUUGCUAUAAUUAUUUUUCCUUAAUUUUGAAUUUGUUUUUUUAUUUGUUAGAGUAUUGUUCUUGAUCGUUGGAGUGGGAUGAAUAGCAUAUUCACCGAAUUUCUUGAGAUUACAAAAGGAGCGGAUGAAGUAGUUUUUUAAUUCUACUUUUUAAUUGUUAUAUUAUUUAUUUUUUUUCAAUUUAUUUAUUUAAUUUUGUUAUGUUUGAUAUUGUAGCCGACCAUUGUUGAUCAAGUUAUCCUGAACAAGAAUUUUGUGGAGGAUGAAGUGGUUUCCCUUCCAAAGGUUAAUGAAAAUUUAUUUUAUUAACUUUUGAUUAUUUUAUGAGUUUUGUUGUGAUAUUUUUGUUCAAUUUCCUUUUUUUUGAAAUGAUUUGUUUGAUAAGCAUGAUGUAGUAGCUGAUUUGAAGAAUCAAAUACUAUGAUUGCAAAAGGAAACUAAAAUUCUUAAGAUGAAGGUCCAAAAGUGAACUCUAUAAUUUUCUGCGUAUUUUUCAUGUCUUCAAUUGUUAUUUUAGCAUUUACUGUUAUUUCGAACUGUUUGUAAUUAUUUUGAAUUUUCUUUUCUUACAUAAUGAUGAACUUGAGGCUCUUCCGAAAAGUCGUUUGAGUCCUUUUUCUGUUGUUUUUCUGGUUUGGUAAAUAUAGUUAGAAAGAAGUUUGUUACAUAUGAUGCUUCGAAGU
rnacentral:lncRNA from 1 species